GCCCGAUUAGCUCAGCUGGUUAGAGCGUCGUACUAAUAUCAGAAUUCUAAUAUCAAGUCAAUGCGAAGGUCAACAGUUCAAUCCUGUUAUUGGGCA
rnacentral:tRNA from 1 species